AAUAGAUACCCCGGUAGUCCACGCUGUAAACGUUGGGCGCUAGGUGUGGGGGGCCUCUCCGGUUCCCUGUGCCGCAGCUAACGCAUUAAGCGCCCCGCCUGGGGAGUACGGCCGCAAGGCUAAAACUCAAAGGAAUUGACGGGGGCCCGCACAAGCGGCGGAGCAUGCGGAUUAAUUCGAUGCAACGCGAAGAACCUUACCUGGGUUUGACAUGGCCGCAAAACUCGCAGAGAUGUGAGGUCCUUCGGGGCGGUCACAGGUGGUGCAUGGCUGUCGUCAGCUCGUGUCGUGAGACGUUGGGUUAAGUCCCGCAACGAGCGCAACCCUCGUUCGAUGUUGCCAGCGCGUUAUGGCGGGGACUCAUCGAAGACUGCCGGGGUCAACUCGGAGGAAGGUGGGGAUGACGUCAAGUCAUCAUGCCCCUUAUGUCCAGGGCUUCACGCAUGCUACAAUGGCCGGUACAAAGGGCUGCAAUACCGCAAGGUGGAGCGAAUCCCAAAAAGCCGGUCUCAGUUCGGAUUGAGGU
rnacentral:rRNA from 1 species